rnacentral:lncRNA from 1 species
CCCAACAGCACCUGCUAAGACUGAGCUCUGCCCAGCUCCCAAUACGGAGUGGUGAGGAUUGAGGACAGCAGAGCCCUAUGGAUCCCAAAGGCCACACUCACCCUCCAUAUCCCACCUCCUCCUCGGGGACUCUACCAACCCUUGCUUUGGGGAGCAGUGCUUUUCCCUAGGAAAGGGGGUGUACAGCCGGACAACAGGCCAAUGCCCCCGACUCUUCUCCCUGCACAAUGCUCCUGCUCCUGUCCCUCUAUUUCUACCUAACUCCCCUGCCCAAUGGCGGGAGGCCCCAGACACUGCAGGCAUGGUGGGGGCCAGGAACCUCGUUGGCUGGAGCAUGUUUCCUGGUGAUCCUGAGGCAGCGGGGGACCCAGCCUUCCAUACCCUGCGGACUUGAUCUGACUCCAGAUACCAUCAG